GCCAUCCUUUUUCUCCGUGGGCGUCCCCCCUCACUCUCCGAGUGUGCCUGUGGUCCUUCCCCCCCUCCUGCACCUUCCUGCCCGUGAAGACAAACCCGCAGGCGUUUAGCUGUGAGCGUUUGCUGUCGAUUACUUGGGUAGCAACAGGAAACGUUUAUAAAGCUCGCACCGUGCGCCCGGCGUGGCGCUAAGCGCUUCUUACGGUAAUGCGUCCACUCCUUCACUCUUCAGAGCAACGCUGAGCUGCAUCUUAGUCCUGAGCUCAGUUUGCAAAUCAGGAGACUGCGACGUUAGGUAAAAUGCCCAAGGUUACACAGACAGCACGCAGAUCGCCCGAUUCUGGACUGAGUUAUUUCUAAAAUUACUGUGCGUGCACGAUCGAAGUAAAAUAAGCAUUUUUCCUAAUUAUUCAGUAAAAUGUAAAGUUCAUUGGAAAGUGCAUCUCUUGGUGAAGUGGAUAUUGUUGCUUUUACAGAUUCGUAUGUCUGUGGAUGACUGUGUCUUAUUGCUGGAGGGCUGAGAAUCACUUCUAUUUUUUUUUUUUAACUUUUAUUCUUAUUUCUAGUUUUUACAGCUGUAUGCCCUGAAAAACCGUGUUCAUAUAACUAAGUACUAUACCUGGGAAUGGAGUUUUAUUGUAGCAAUGUCACUCAGUUCUUGAUCUCAAAAAAUUAGGUUUGAUGACUUAUGAGUUCACUGUUCAAUGCAGCCCUCCUUCCUUUUUGUUGAAAGCAAAGAAUUUGAAAACUACCUCACUUGCGGAAGGAUUUGUUUAUGUAGUCCUUAUUGUUCCACUUUUUCAGUUACUGGGAAAUAUACCAAAUAGACUUUAUUAAAGUAUCAAAUGACUAUGAAUGAGACUUUUUUUUUUCAGUGAGAUGUACCUUGUUUAACCUGAUAUAUUCAAAAGUUUGGGGGAAAUCUAGACAUUGUUCAUUUUCUUAAAUGGUUUCAGAUAAAAUGCUUUUUUAAAUUUUGUUUUGCUAUCCCAUAGUUCAGUUUGGUUUUUGUCAAAACUUUGCAGCUGAUGAUACCGCUCAUUCAAGUUGAAACUUUGUCAGGCAUGGAAAAUGUUUGUGGUAUACCCUAAUUAACAGAGCCUGUUUUCAUCAUCAAGCUAGCCAGAUCCAAUUUACUUUCUGUGAGAAACAGUUUGCCUCAUUGUUUCAAUUCAAAUAAAGUGUCAAGCGUUUUGAGGAUUAUAAUGAAGACUGCAGAGAGAAAAAGUCAGAGAUUACUAGGAGCAAUGAAGAUUAAAAUAGUGUAAGACAUAAUUGUUUUAUCCAUUUUCAAAAUUAAUAGUGAAAAUAAGAUACGAAUAUGAUGUUUCCCUUAAUUAUCAACAAUGCAAUACAGUAUGUUGCUAAGUAGAUGUUAUUUACUACGCAUGUAGUAUGAUAAAAGGCAUGGCCUUUGUUUGGUAUAUAUGGGUGCAUGUAUCAAAUUUAUUCAGCUUUUGGGGAAUAACUAAGAAUCAUCCAUAAAAAUUCAGCAAAACUCCAUAAAUUUAGUUAGUCAUAGUCAUUUAACUUUUUAAAAAUAUAAUGAAACAAUAAGGCAUUUGCUGCUAAAAAUAAAUUGGUUCAGUGGCUAGUGGCUUCUCCCUCUCCCUCUGCCCCUCCCCCCUACUUGAGCUUGCUCGCUUGCUCUUUCUCUCAAAUAAAUAAAUAAAUCUUAAAAAAAUAAUUUUUUGUUUCGUGAAUAACAUUUAGAAAAUCCUAAAUAUUUUCUAAAAUGUAGUAAGUUGAGAACUGAUUAUAAUGUAAAUAGAUGAUUCACAAUUGAUUUUAUAAAAUGUGUGUUAACUGUCUUACUCAGUAACACACACUGAAUCUAAAAGAAAUAGCUAUUUGUAUCCAUGGCUUCAAGUUACACUGGGUACGCACAGACUAGAUACAAUAUAACUUGAACAAUUUUGCAGCUUUAUAAGCUAGUUACAUUGAAAAGAAUGAGGGUCACUGAUCUGUACUGCUUUGACUGCUCAAAGGUACUUUUUAUUCUUGAAGACAGAUCUUAGAGAUGAGUAUUGUGAAUACCUGGAGGGGAAAUGGCAUAUAUUUAAAUCUUAAAAAAAAAAAAAAAAAAAAAAAAAAGCCUGUUUUAGGCAGUCAUCAUUUCUUAACAAUGACCUCUUUGCUUUAAUCUCUCCUGUGACUGUUUAGAAACAGUAAUGUAAUUUUUGCCGAUAGUAAGGGUGUGAGGUCUUAAAAAAAAAAAUUGCCAUUGUUCCCCUAUCCCACUGUGUCUGAUUUCAGAACAUUCCAACAAGGAUCAAAUGCUUUUCUCGGUGACCGUGAUUGAGCUCUCCUGUUGUUUCCUAAGUCUGAUGCUAAGGUUAUUUGGCUGGUCAAACAACUAAAUGGACAUGAGACAGACUUAAAGGAGAAAAACAAAUGUAAUUCCAUGCAUACAGGAGCUCCAUGAACAUGAGACCUGAAGGGCAGCCAGUUGAUGAAGCGUGGCAUGCCAUGGUGGACAGACCUCGGGUGUUGGGACAGACAGACCUGGAUCUGAAUCUGCCUUAGCCACCUGUGAUCUGUGGAUUGGUGCUCCUGACUUCAAUAAGCCUGGGCAUCAUUUUCUUUGACUACUCAACAAGAAUUACGCUUCUCUCACAAGAUUUUUGUGAAGAUUUAAGAGCCUCCACAAAGGUGGUCAUAACUUUCGUGCAUCCCCUUCAACAUGGAAACCAGAGCCUGCAGGACAGACACAGUCUCUGAAGGACUCCUGGCUCUGUUGACUCCCUGACUCCACACCCUAAGAUCAGUUUCUGGUUGUCUGCUUUCUCGCAUGCUCUCUGGAGGAUGGCCUCUUGUACUCACAAGCACCUCUGGACCAGCCCCCAGCCUGGCCAAAGCAGCAGACUUCUCUGCUCCCUGGUGGGCAGAGCCACACCUUCUCCAAAGAUGUCUGGACCCCUCCCAAGUCUGAUUCUUCCAUGGGUGUUCAUCUGAAGCCAUAGGGUGCCUUAUGAAGUCUCCUUGUAUCUUACGGUUACUCUAGCAUAAUGGUUCUUUGUACUCAACUUGCUCUGCGUGAGUUACUAUGUGUUUCUGUCUCCUAAUUGGACCUAGAUUGUCUUAGGAGGUGAUCCCAGGAAGAAAGCAAGAGAGUGGAGAAGGAGAAAAAGCCAAUAAAGAAUGUGUUAAUGAGUGGCUCACUAUUGUGAGCACUUGGGGCUCAUUUGCGCUUGUGUCCCCCUGAAGGCCUGGAUGCCACACACUUCAGCAUCAUUCCAGCAAGAGGCAAGGGGGCUGAAUAGUAUAUGAAGAGACCCAGGAUUUGGAAGGCAGAACAAACAAACAAAUAUGAAGAGGGCAGAUUUUGGACCUUCAUGGAUGGUGCUAAAGUUAAGAAAAGCUAAAAGAGGAAGAGAAUGAGUCUUGGGGUAGUGUUCAUCUCUGUGCCUGACUGGCCCUGUACCUGCUGGGACUCCGGACAUCCUCACAACAGGAACCAUUUUGCAAAGGAUGAGAUGAUAGCUCUGGGAGGAUGAGCAUCUCAUCCCAAGUUUAUGUUGCUGCAAAAUGAUGGAAUUGGAAGUAGGUGCCAGACUGCGUCCAAGGAGGAGACACUGAAGUGUUUUUUCCCUACACCAUGCUAAAUAAACUGCGGCAGUGCC